UGCUGGGAUUACAGGCAUGAGCCACCGCGCCUGGCUCCCCUUCCCUUCAUAUUAGUUAAACAAAGCAUGAGACAGGAGGUCCCUCAUCCUCUUCCUGCACUGGAAAAUUAGUCUUCAGUUACCACAGCGGUCUGGAAAGACUUGAAUGAACUCCACAGUUUAGUUGUCAGGUGGGGAGUGUCCCUGUGUGUGGGCGCUGGUGGUUCCAAGGUAACUGUCUCCGGCCCCUGUCCCCAGGUGUGCAGUGGAGGUCAAGGCCUGGAGUCCCUCCUUUCCUGGAACUUUGAGCCCCAAACCUGGUGACCCCACGAGCACCUCGCACUUCUUCACUUUUCCUCGGUUUUACAUCACAUGUGUGUAGCCCCUGUUCUUUCUUCUCUAGGCUACAACUGUACCCGCUGCCACCAAGCUAGACCCUCGGAGGUGACCACUUCCUCUGGGGGUAAAGGGCCCCUCCCAACCCAUCACCAAAAAAACUUCCCCAUUUACCCCAAGUCUCUCCCCAGUUUACCCUAACAUGCGAGUUGAAGUUUUCCCUCCUGUGCGGUGGAGGUAAAGCUUAUUUCCCGCUGGCCCUGUGGAAAAUGCAGGGAGCAGGGACCAUUCCCGAAAUCCCCACUCAGCACCAACCACGGAAGGAGCAGCACACACUUACUUCUCUGUGCAGUUGGAAGAUGCAAAAUGGAAGCUCAGUGUUCGAUGGUUCAUCCAAGGAGAGGUACAGGGAUGGGAUUUGAGUCCAGGUCCGGGUGACCCGGGUCCUCUCAGAGGCCUGUCUUCUGGGGUUCCACAGCCUUGCCCCUCUGGAACAGAGAACAGGAUGCAGGGGUGGGGGCAGAUAAAGCGUUCUGUGCAAGAGACAGGCUUGACAGGCCUGGGGGCGGUCUGCUGAAAGGGACCCCUGGAGCAGCCCAGGGCCGACUGGAGGCCCUUGGGGAUGGGGAGGACGUUCACUACCAGAGGGAGAGGCAAGGUGGGGAGGCCGCAGGCCCCUUCUCGGCCCCUCUGUCUGCUGUAUCUCCACCCUCUCUCCCUGUGACCAGGCCUGGAAGGGAUGGGCUCUGGGCCAAGCCCUGCUCUUGGCACAAACUCUCCACCCCACCCUGGAGGCGCUUGUUAGUGCUUUGCUUAAAAGUAGGCUGAGAAGUCCGAGCAAAGAUGGGAAGCUUUGUUUUCAAAUAUAAUGGGAAGGGUGUGUGGAAACAGACCUGGCAAAACAAAGGCAGAUUGAUGUUUCUGUUUGUGAUACCAGUGGAGAGAGGAGGGCACAAGCAGGCUGGAGUGCUAUGGCACAGUCUCAGCUCACUGCAAACUCUGCCUCCCGGGCUCAAGCAAUUCUCCUGCCUCAGCCUCCCGAGCAGCUGGGAUUACAGAUUCAUGCCAGGCUCAGAGCCUGUCCCGGUGACAGACGCCCAAACACCUUGAUGGCUGAGGAAAAGUAGAGCGAGGAGGGCUCUCUGAAGAUGCAAGCGUGUGGGUGGGACAAGUACAGGCAGCAGUGGAGAUGAAUUCACUUGGGAUGGAUUCCAAGGUUGUCUACACCUGGAGCAGUCACAGACUUCAACAUAUCUUUAAGUGUGGUGCCACCAGUAGCUGAGUUCAGGCCACUCCACGCCCAGCCACUGUUUCUGUUCAGGCCAAGGGAGCUGAUGCGGGAACUCACCAGCAUCGUGGGAAGCAGCUGCUCAUUGUCCUUUGUCGCUUCUGAAACGUUCGGCAGCAGCACAGAAGAGACAUCACCCCUUAAUGCUUUAUUUACAUGAGCUCUUUUGAGAAACUUUUUUUUUUUUUUUGAGACAGACUUUCACUCUUGUUGCCCAGGCUGGAGUGCAAUGGAACGAUCUCGGCUCACUGCAACCUCUGCCUCCCAGGUUCAAGCAAUUCUCCUGCCUCAGCCUCCCUAGGAGCUGGGAUUACAAGCGUGCACCACCACGCCCGGCUAAUUUUUUUAUUUUUAAUAGACAUGGGGUUUCACCAUGUUGGCCAGGCUGGUUUCGAACUCCUGACAACAGGUGAUCCACCCACCUCAGCCUCCCAAAGUGCUGGGAUUACAGGCGUGAGCCACCGUGCCCCACUGAGAAACAUUUUACAAACAGGUGCAUUGUGGGAGUGGGUGUGGUUAGUGUCGCAUCAGGGACGAGUCUGAACACAGACCUUGGCCGUGGCUGUGGGUCCUGCUCCUCAUUUUUCUGCGAGGACAUGAUACAAUCAGGGACUCUUGUGAAACUGCCUGGAAAGGAGCUUGGCUGGGUUGGUGUCAUCCCGGGAACACCUGCCAGCCACCUUCCCGCUUUGGGUUCCCUGAGGCGCAACCACAGGCCUAUGUGUGGGGCGUCGGGGGACUUGAGGCUUCCUUGUGAUGGUCUCCUGAGGCUGCCACACCCUCUGUCUCUGUGUCACUGGGAGCCCCUGAGCUUUGGGUCUGUAGCUGGGUACUCGGGUGCCGGCACAGCUUGUUCGUUUAGGGAGAAGACAAGAGGGCAGGCCUUCUGG
rnacentral:lncRNA from 1 species